rnacentral:pre_miRNA from 1 species
GGCCUCCCUCUGUGGGGCAAUUGAUAGUGGAGCCCCCCAUUGAUAGCCCUGCAGAGGGUGGCC